AAAUUGAGUGGGAUGAAAUUGAUAUGUGGUGACUUUUUGCAGGAAACAAAUUUUGAUCAUCACUAUCAGGCCG
rnacentral:tRNA from 1 species